GAUGAACGCUGGCGGCGUGCCUAAUACAUGCAAGUCGAGCGAAUGGAUUAAGAGCUUGCUCUUAUGAAGUUAGCGGCGGACGGGUGAGUAACACGUGGGUAACCUGCCCAUAAGACUGGGAUAACUCCGGGAAACCGGGGCAAAUACCGGAUAACAUUUUGACCCGCAUGGUUUGACAUUGAAAGGCGGCUUCGGCUGUCACUUAUGGAUGGACCCGCGUCGCAUUAGCUAGUUGGGGAGGUAACGGCUCACCAAGGCAACGAUGCGUAGCCGACCUGAGAGGGUGAUCGGCCACACUGGGACUGAGACACGGCCCAGACUCCUACGGGAGGCAGCAGUAGGGAAUCUUCCGCAAUGGACGAAAGUCUGACGGAGCAACGCCGCGUGAGUGAUGAAGGCUUUCGGGUCGUAAAACUCUGUUGUUAGGGAAGAACAAGUGCUAGUUGAAUAAGCUGGCACCUUGACGGUACCUAACCAGAAAGCCACGGCUAACUACGUGCCAGCCGCCGCAGUAA
rnacentral:rRNA from 1 species